rnacentral:rRNA from 1 species
UGGGGAAUUUUGGACAAUGGGCGCAAGCCUGAUCCAGCCAUGCCGCGUGCGGGAAGAAGGCCUUCGGGUUGUAAACCGCUUUUGUCAGGGAAGAAAUCUUCUGAGUUAAUACCUCGGGAGGAUGACGGUACCUGAAGAAUAAGCACCGGCUAACUACGUGCCAGCAGCCGCGGUAAUACGUAGGGUGCAAGCGUUAAUCGGAAUUACUGGGCGUAAAGCGUGCGCAGGCGGUUUUGUAAGACAGAGGUGAAAUCCCCGGGCUCAACCUGGGAACUGCCUUUGUGACUGCAAGGCUUGAGUGCGGCAGAGGGGGAUGGAAUUCCGCGUGUAGCAGUGAAAUGCGUAGAUAUGCGGAGGAACACCGACGGCGAAGGCAAUCCCCUGGGCCUGCACUGACGCUCAUGCACGAAAGCGUGGGGAGCAAAACAGGAUUAGAUACCCUGGUAGUCCACGCCCUAAACGAUGUCAACUGGUUGUUGGGAAGGUUCCUUCUCAGUAACGUAGCUAACGCGUGAAGUUGACCGCCUGGGGAGUACGGCCGCAAGGUUGAAACUCAAAUGAAUUGACGGGGUCAUAGCUGUUUCCUG